rnacentral:ncRNA from 2 species
UGUGGGAGCUGGCUUGCUUGCGAUAGCCGUGUGUCAGUCAAGAAUGCUUUAACUGAUACACCGCUAUCGCAGGCAAGCCAGCUCCCACA